CCUUGACUCAUCUUUCCUUCCCUUCCUCCCACUGAAGUGGCAUUCUUCUGCAGAAAGCAUUUCUUCCCACCAUGCACCGGCGGAAUAAUGAAGGCUGCUGCUCUUAUCCCUGUUUGAAGCCCAAAUGUGCGAGCAGGCACUUUCCUAAGACUGAGACCAGCAAUAGCUACUGCCGACCAGAUGGAAGGCUGAAGUUUGGACAGAUGAAAUGAAUUCUGAGUUCCACCAAGAGGCUUUGUCCUCAUGACAAAUAGAGAGGAAAAGCCAACUCCUGUUGCUGAGAUAUCAUUGUGUUUACCUUGAGUGAGCCUGUCAUGCCAGGUGCCUGCAGUACUCCGAAGGACAAGGAAAGCAUGAUUCGUGGGACCCAGUGUGGAUGGGUGGGAACUUUAAAAACAGAGAAGAAAUGGAUGCGAAGAGUAAGGCCAUGGGAAGACAGCAUUUGAGGAGAGAGUUAUGAGGACGUCUUCCAAGGAACCAGAUUCUCAUAGCUUACUAAAACCAUAGAGCAGGAGAAGUUUUCAU